rnacentral:rRNA from 1 species
GGACUACAGGGGUAUCUAAUCCCGUUUGCUCCCCUGGCCUUCGAGCCUCAGUGUCAGGAAAUUUCCAGAGGCCUGCUUUCGCCGUUGGUCUUCCUCACGAUAUCUACGCAUUUCACUGCUACACCGUGAAUUCCGGCCUCCUCUCAAUUCCUCGAGCCGGGCAGUAUCAAAUGCGGUUCGGUGUUGAGCACCGAAAUUUGACACCUGACUUACCCGACCACCUACGCUCCCUUUACGCCCAAUGAAUCCGAACAACGCUUGGGACCUCUGUAUUACCGCGGCUGCUGGCAC